rnacentral:rRNA from 1 species
UACGAAGGGGGCUAGCGUUGCUCGGAAUCACUGGGCGUAAAGCGCACGUAGGCGGAUUGCUAAGUCAGGGGUGAAAUCCUGGAGCUCAACUCCAGAACUGCCCUUGAUACUGGCGGUCUCGAGUCCGGGAGAGGUGAGUGGAACUGCGAGUGUAGAGGUGAAAUUCGUAGAUAUUAGGAAGAACACCGGUGGCGAAGGCGGCCCACUGGUCCGGUACUGACGCUGAGGUGCGAAAGCGUGGGGAGCAAACAGG